rnacentral:misc_RNA from 1 species
GGAGAGUUGUUGAAUUUCUUUUAUAGUGUAAAAGAAAAGGUUGUUCUUGAAAUUUUUUUUUCAAGAUCUGGUGAAUUUGUUGUUGAAAGUAGCUUAAAUGGCUCCAAGAUUGAAUUUUUCUGACUGGUGGGGUAAAGAUAAAGAAAGGGGAACACCAGUUAUAGUGAAAAUGGAGAACCCCAAUUUCUCCAUUGUUGAAAUUGAUGGUCCUGAUGCUGCAUUUAAGCCUAUAGAGAAG